rnacentral:rRNA from 1 species
UACGUAGGGUGCGAGCGUUGUCCGGAAUUAUUGGGCGUAAAGAGCUCGUAGGCGGUCUGUCGCGUCGAAUGUGAAAACCCGGGGCUCAACUCCGGGCUUGCAUUCGAUACGGGCAGGCUAGAGUUCGGUAGGGGAGUCUGGAAUUCCUGGUGUAGCGGUGAAAUGACGCAGAGUAUCAGGAGGAACACCGGUGGCGAAGGCGGGACUCUGGGCCGAUACUGACGCUGAGGAGCGAAAGCGUGGGGAGCGAACAGG